CGGAGAGGGAGCAUGAGAAACGGCUACCACUUCUAAGGAAGGCAGCAGGCGCGCAAAUUACCCAAUCCUGACUCAGGGAGGUAGUGACAAGAAAUAACGAUACGGGGUCUUAAUAGGUCUCGCAAUUGGAAUGAGUACAAUUUAAAUCCUUUAACGAGGAUCAAUUGGAGGGCAAGUCUGGUGCCAGCAGCCGCGGUAAUUCCAGCUCCAAUAGCGUAUACUAAAGUUGUUGCAGUUAAAAAGCUCGUAGUUGGAUUUCUGCGGGGACGGAGCGGCCGGUCGCAACUUGCGACUCGAGCUAGCGCUUUCCCCGCAUCCUGCCGCGAACCGUGCUACCAUUAGCUUGGUGGCGCUGGGGAUCGGCUCGAUUACUUUGAGAAAAAUAGAGUGUUCAAAGCAGGCCACACGCCUUGAAUAAGUUAGCAUGGAAUAAUGACUAAGGACUUCGGUUCUAUUUCGUUGGUGUUCGGGACUGAAGUAAUGAUUGAUAGGGACAGUUGGGGCGGUCUGUAUUCCAAAGCGAGAGGUGAAAUUCUUAGACCUUCGGAAGACAAACAGCUGCGAAAGCGUUCCGCAAGGAUGUUCCCUUUGAUCAAGAACGAAAGUUGGGGGAUCGAAGACGAUCAGAUACCGUCGUAGUCUCAACUAUAAACUAUACCAGCUAGGGAUCGGUCAACGUUUAAUCAUUCGACUUGAUCGGCACCUUAUGAGAAAUCAAAGCAUCUGGGUUCCGGGGGGAGUAUGGUCGCAAGGCUGAAACUUAAAGGAAUUGACGGAAGGGCACCACCAGCCGUGGAGCCUGUGGCUUAAUUUGACUCAACACGGGAAAACUUACCAGGUCCAGACAUAGUAAGGAUUGACAGAUUGAUAGCUCUUUCUUGAUUCUGUGGGUGGUGGUGCAUGGCCGUUCUUAGUUGGUGGAGUGAUUUGUCUGGUUAAUUCCGUUAACGAACGAGACCCCAGCCUGCUAAAUAGCGCGGCUGAGCUUUGCUCGGUGCGAGCUUCUUAGAGGGACUAUGAUGCGCGAUAGCACAUGGAAGUUUGGGGCAAUAACAGGUCUGUGAUGCCCUUAGAUGUUCUGGGCCGCACACGGGCUACACUGGCGCCUGCAACGAGCAUAUCAGCUGGCCCGAGAGGGUCUUGGCUAAUCUUUUGAACCGGCGCCGUGCUUGGGAUUGACCAUUGCAAUUGUUGGUCAUGCAACGAGGAAUGCCUUGUAAACGCGAGUCAUCAGCUCGCAUUGAAUACGUCCCUGCCCUUUGUACACACCGCCCGUCGCUCCUACCGAUGAAUGUUCCGAUGAAAUUUUCGGAGAGCGCCAGAGAACGGGGCUCCGCCUUGCAGAUCUGGAGGCUCAAAGUCACUUAAAUCUGAACAUUUCGAGGAAGGAGAAGUCGUAACAAGGUAACC
rnacentral:rRNA from 1 species